rnacentral:ncRNA from 1 species
AUUGGUGAUAGAGGUGCGGUAUUUAAGAGUACUGUUGCUAAGGCAAGCACGAUGAGGCUUCAGGAAAGGAGAUUCCGCCGAAGCAUACAGCUGAUGCUUUAAGGCUGUAUAGCUGGUUCUGUAUAGAAUAUAUGCAGGACUGUCACAAAUUUUAUUUGUGGAGAGCUAUCAUUCAA